rnacentral:rRNA from 1 species
UACGGGGGGAGCAAGCGUUGUUCGGAUUUACUGGGCGUAAAGGGCGCGUAGGCGGUACGACAAGUCGGGAGUGAAAGCCCGGGGCUCAACCUCGGAACUGCUUUCGAAACUGUCGAACUUGAGUGCGGAAGAGGCAACUGGAAUUCCCAGUGUAGCGGUGAAAUGCGUAGAUAUUGGGAAGAACACCUGAGGCGAAGGCGGGUUGCUGGGCUGACACUGACGCUGAGGCGCGAAAGCCAGGGGAGCGAACGGG